rnacentral:misc_RNA from 1 species
GAGUUGUAAAACUCCCUAAAACCCAUGUGAACAUACCUGUUGCCUCGGCGGGCCUACCCUAUAGUUCUUCGGAGCUACCCGGGAGUGACCGCCGAAGGUCCAAUAAACUCUUUUAUCUCUGUAUCUCUGAGCAAAAAAACAAAUAAGUUAAAACUUUCAACAACGGAUCUCUUGGUUC